UCAGGAUGAACGCUAGCUACAGGCUUAACACAUGCAAGUCGAGGGGCAGCAUGGUCUUAGCUUGCUAAGGCCGAUGGCGACCGGCGCACGGGUGAGUAACGCGUAUCCAACCUGCCUUACACUCUUGGACAGCCUUCUGAAAGGGAGAUUAAUACAAGAUGUUAUCAUGAGUAAGCAUUUUCGCAUGAUUAAAGGUUUACCGGUGUAAGAUGGGGAUGCGUUCCAUUAGAUAGUAGGCGGGGUAACGGCCCACCUAGUCUUCGAUGGAUAGGGGUUCUGAGAGGAAGGUCCCCCACAUUGGAACUGAGACACGGUCCAAACUCCUACGGGAGGCAGCAGUGAGGAAUAUUGGUCAAUGGACGAGAGUCUGAACCAGCCAAGUAGCGUGAAGGAUGAAGGUUCUAUGGAUUGUAAACUUCUUUUAUACGGGAAUAAACGAAUCCACGUGUGGAUUUUUGCAUGUACCGUAUGAAUAAGGAUCGGCUAACUCCGUGCCAGCAGCCGCGGUAAUACGGAGGAUCCGAGCGUUAUCCGGAUUUAUUGGGUUUAAAGGGAGCGUAGAUGGGUUGUUAAGUCAGUUGUGAAAGUUUGCGGCUCAACCGUAAAAUUGCAAUUGAUACUGGCAGUCUUGAGUACAGUUGAGGUAGGCGGAAUUCGUGGUGUAGCGGUGAAAUGCUUAGAUAUCACGAAGAACUCCGAUUGCGAAGGCAGCUUACUAACCUGUAACUGACAUUGAUGCUCGAAAGUGUGGGUAUCAAACAGGAUUAGAUACCCUGGUAGUCCACACGGUAAACGAUGAAUACUCGCUGUAGGCGAUAUACAGUCUGCGGCCAAGCGAAAGCAUUAAGUAUUCCACCUGGGGAGUACGCCGGCAACGGUGAAACUCAAAGGAAUUGACGGGGGCCCGCACAAGCGGAGGAACAUGUGGUUUAAUUCGAUGAUACGCGAGGAACCUUACCCGGGCUUAAAUUGCAACCGAAUAUGGCGGAAACGCUAUAGUUAGCAAUAGCGGUUGUGAAGGUGCUGCAUGGUUGUCGUCAGCUCGUACCGUGAGGUGUCGGCUUAAGUGCCAUAACGAGCGCAACCCUUGCCGAUAGUUACUAACAGGUUAUGCUGAGGACUCUGUCGGGACUGCCAUCGUAAGAUGUGAGGAAGGUGGGGAUGACGUCAAAUCAGCACGGCCCUUACGUCCGGGGCUACACACGUGUUACAAUGGGGGGUACAGAGGGCUGCUACCACGCAAGUGGAUGCCAAUCCCAAAAACCUCUCUCAGUUCGGAUUGAAGUCUGCAACCCGACUUCAUGAAGCUGGAUUCGCUAGUAAUCGCGCAUCAGCCACGGCGCGGUGAAUACGUUCCCGGGCCUUGUACACACCGCCCGUCAAGCCAUGGAAGCCGGGGGUACCUGAAGUGCGUAACCGCAAGGAGCGCCCUAGGGU
rnacentral:rRNA from 1 species